rnacentral:misc_RNA from 1 species
AAAGUCGUAACAAGGUUUCCGUAGGUGAACCUGCGGAAGGAUCAUUAUUGAAUCCUCAAGGAUGUUGCUGGCCUCUCAGGAGGCAUGUGCACUCCGCCUUUCAAUUCACCUGUGAACUUAUUGUAGGCCCGAGUGGUCUAUGUUUUUACACACACACAAAAGUCUAUAGAAUGUCUAAUAGUAGGCCUUAUGGUCGAAACUUAAUACAACUUUCAACAAUGGAUCUCUUGGUUCUC